rnacentral:rRNA from 1 species
AUUGAACGCUGGCGGCAGGCCUAACACAUGCAAGUCGAGCGAGCGGCGGACGGGGGAGUAAUGUCUGGGAAACUGCCUGAAGGAGGGGGAUAACUACUGGAAACGGUAGCUAAUACAGCAUACCAUCAGAUGUGGGCAGAUGGGAUUAGAGAGUAGGUGGGGUAAAGGCUAACCUAGGCAUCGAUCCCUAGCUGGUCGGAGAGGAGGACCAGCCACACUGGAACUGAGACACGGUCCAGACUCCUACGGGAGGCAGCAGUGGGGAAUAUUGCACAAUUGGCGCAAGCCUGAUGCAGCCAUGCCGCGUGUGUGAAGAAGGCCUUCGGGUUGUAAAGCACUUUCAGCGGGGAGGCGUUACCCGCAGAAGAAGCACCGGCUAACUCCGUGCCAGCAGCCGCGGUAAUUC